AAAAAAAAGGUAAGCUAAUAAAGCUAGUGGGUUCAUACCCCAAAUAUGAAGAUUGACCUUCCCUUUUUA
rnacentral:tRNA from 1 species